rnacentral:misc_RNA from 1 species
AAAGGUAGGAAAAGAAUCGAAUACCAUCCAAUCUUUGAGAGCUUAUUUUUCCAGAUACAAAAAUACAAAUCAAGCCAUCACCUUAAAGAAAACUCAAUAUUUGGUCCUCUACAUUUAGUUUACAAUCUCCAAAACAGGAGUAGAACAACAAAAGCUAAUUUCCUGUGGGAAAAAAAAACAAUUUGUAUACUAAUAGCUAGUAUGCUUCCUUGUUGGUUUUUCAGCGUUUUGUGAACAUACCCUGUGUCAAGGAUGAAAAGUCGAAUUCUUUUGUUGACUGUGUGGAGCUUGAUGAUAUCGGGGUAGCUGCUUGCUUGCUUGGUCCUGGCGGCACAAUACCGUUGCUGGAAGUGUUCUGUCCCAUUGAGUAGAAGCUGGAUGCUGGAAUUGGCACAGAGUUUCCAACUACAUGUGCUGGUCCCAUAUUGCCUACCUGCAUAUAUUUCUCCAGCUCAGUCUUACCAGCUGCUGGCAUUAUCACUCCAGGGAACUGAUAGCCUAAAUUUGGCCAGUUCUGAUUUACCAUAUUGGUGCCAUUAGUGCUUUGUUGUGCAUUUACAGGAAGUCUUACAGCACCACCUGCAGCAGCCGCAGCCAUCAGUAAAGACUGUUGUUGCGCCAGCAUAGCAAGUUGUUGUUGAUGCAUAGCAAAAGGUGACACAAUAUUGGACUUGUCGAAAAGGCUCAUUAUAUCGUUUUUAGCAUCUUUCUGUGGCUUCUGCGAUGAGGCAGAAGGCACAAUUGAUGGUAAAUCCUUGAAUAAAUCUUCAAUUCCAGAAGCAGCAGCAGAUUGAGACUUCUUCUGAUCAACGGAGUUUGUAACCCCAGUAUUUUCUGCUUUUGUUGCUUCUUGAGCAGACUGGAAGCCUGCCCAGGAGUUAUCAUCGGUAGAAGCUGCUUCUGAGCCAUUGUCAGUUGGACAAUCCAUAGAAAGCAUGUCAAAUAGAUCAGUAGCAUAAUCAACUUUAGGAGGACUGGCAGCUUCCGGAACCUGCUUAGCUGGUUCAGUGACUGCAACUGGCUCUGCUUUCUGACUUGUCUGGUUAGCAACCUGACCUGAAGUUACAUGCUCUGGUCCUCUAGGAGGCACUGGUAUACUGACUCUAGCAGCAGGUACAUCUUGCUUCACUUUCGAGGCUUGAAUAUUUUUCCUCUCGUCAGAUGCACAUCCUGAGCUAGCUGCAUGUAUACGCCCACUUCUAUCAUUGUUUUGUUGCCAUUGCACCGAAGCCCUCUCUUCUUGAACCCUGGAAGGUGAUUUUUGAAUCCCAUCCUUAGGGACCCACCUCUUCUCUUCAUAUUUUGCUCGGAUGAAAUUCUCAAUACCAACUCUAUCAUAAUUUGGAGGCAGCUCUGCUUCCCAAAAACUAUUUGACCUCUCAUUUCCCAUUGAAUGGAUAAAUGCAACUUGUUCAGGAAGCCAUGUGUCUAGUGUAGCUGAUCUGACCUUUGAUAUGUGCACCCCCAGGCUUCUGUGGAUCCCAGAGCAUUGCAUGCAUAUAAAUAUUCCCAGGUUCACGCUUGCCCAUCUAGGACCCUUGGCUUUGCAAUCUGCACAUUCCCUGUUCUCGGGCAACUUAAGAAGUCCUUCUAGUAUCUUUCUAUGCUUCGCAUUAAGCUCUUUAGUAACAUUAGCCUUCUCAUUCAUGAUGACGAUAGCAAGGGUUUAAGCGAAUUAACCGACGGAGAGAGAAGCUAUCGGAAAAUAAAAAUCGCCGAUCUGAUUCCUCCCCUCUCCGACG